CGCAGAAAUAAAGUCGUCAUUGGGUCCUCACCUAACAGUUAUUGGUGCCCAACCCCACCUUUACCCCACAACAUCUCAUGUCUAAUAGAGAGGUCCAGUCCCCCGAUGCAACUUGCCCACUGUGUCCAGCCGAGACAAAUCAACACUGAAAAGACCUUAGCAGCUCUACUACGAUGGAAGACCUAUGGACUUAAUAUUGCAUAAUCAAGUCUUAGUGUUUGCAACUUGAGUUCUUCAUAAGAGGUAAUCGAACAAUUGGCCAGGUAAGCA
rnacentral:lncRNA from 1 species